rnacentral:rRNA from 1 species
AAACUAACCAGGAUUCCCCUAGUAACGGCGAGUGAAGCGGGAUGAGCUCAAGCUUAAAAUCUCUGUGCCAGUUUGGCAUGGCGAAUUGUAGUCUAUAGAGGCGAUGUCAGUGCGGCUGUGCGGGGUAAGUUCCUUGGAAGAGGACAGCAUCGAGGGUGAUACUCCCGUUUGUACCUGUGCGGCUUGCGCGUACGACACGUUUUCUUCGAGUCGCGUUGUUUGGGACUGCAGCGCAAAGUAGGUGGUAAAUUCCAUCUAAAGCUAAAUAUUGGUGCGAGACCGAUAGCGAACAAGUACCGUGAGGGAAAGAUGAAAAGAACUUUGAAAAGAGAGUUAAAGAGUACCUGAAACUGCUGAAAGGGAAGCGAAUCGUAUCCAGUGUCUAUAAUCUGCGGCAUAUUUCAUUGGCGGCUUCGUGCGUGCUAUUGUUUCGGAAGCGGCUUUUGUUGCUCUGUGCUUUGGUGUUGCUUGUUGGUGCUAAUGCCCUGUGUUGCGGUGGGACGUCAGAGUCAGUUCGUAUGCUGCGGGAAAUGGCUGCCGAGGAGGUAGGUCGGGACUUUUGUCUUGGCUGUUAUAUCUUGGUGGUUUGUUGUCGUGGUUGGGACUGAGGUGCCUACAAUGUGCUUUUGAGUGUUCCGGGUUCUCAUUUGGUGGACUGUUUGGAUAGCUUGCUAUGCUUGUGGUUUUUUCAUCGAGUGAUUGAGUCUGGUGGUAACUUAUUGCCGUUCGGGACUUUGACGAAAUGGAGCGAUUCGGC